rnacentral:rRNA from 1 species
GAUGAACGCUGGCGGCGUGCCUAAUACAUGCAAGUCGAGCGAAGCGGGGACGGGUGAGUAACACGUGGAUAACCUCCUAUAAGACUGGGAUAACUUCGGGAAACCGGAGCUAAACCGGAUACUUAUCGAUGGAUCCGCGCUGCAUUAGCUCGUUGGUAAGGUAACGGCUUACCAGGGCAACGAUGCAUAGCAGACCUGAGAGGGUGAUGGGCCACACUGGAACUGAGACACGGUCCAGACUCCUACGGGAGGCAGCAGUAGGGAAUCUUGCGCAAUGGGCGAAAGCAUGACGGAGCAAUGCCGCGUGAGUGAUGAAGGUCUUCGGAUCGUAAAACUCUGUUAGUAGGGAAGCGUUACCAAAUCAGAAAGCCACGGCUAACUACGUGCCAGCAGCCGCGGUAAUAC